ACUGUUGAGCCAUCUUUCCAGCCCCCUUUUUUAUUUUCUUAAAAAAAAAAAAAGAGGGCUGGAGAGAUGGCUCAGAGGU
rnacentral:pre_miRNA from 1 species